AUGGUUAAGUUAGAAAGGGCGCACGGUGAAUGCCUUGGCACUAGGAGCCGAUGAAGGACGGGACUAACACCGAUAUGCUUCGGGGAGCUGUAAGUGAGCUUUGAUCCGGAGAUUUCCGAAUGGGGAAACCCACUGUUCGUAAUGGAACAGUAUCUUUAUCUG
rnacentral:rRNA from 1 species